UACGAAGGGGGCUAGCGUUGCUCGGAAUUACUGGGCGUAAAGCGCACGUAGGCGGAUUCCUAAGUCGGGGGUGAAAUCCUGGAGCUCAACUCCAGAACUGCCUUCGAUACUGGGAAUCUUGAGUCCGGAAGAGGUGAGUGGAACUGCGAGUGUAGAGGUGAAAUUCGUAGAUAUUCGCAAGAACACCAGUGGCGAAGGCGGCUCACUGGCCCGGUACUGACGCUGAGGUGCGAAAGCGUGGGGAGCAAACAGG
rnacentral:rRNA from 1 species